rnacentral:misc_RNA from 1 species
AGAGCCUAAAAAUUAAAUUCCAAUAAGCAUACCCAAACAUGAGUUAGUGUGUAUACAUUGAAUUAUAAAUGACUCAUUCUUUUAAAAGUGUUAGAAGAGGAAAUUUUGUUCCCCUUUCUUUUGUGACCCCCACCCCCUCCAUCCCACCCUUCCCUGCCACUUCCAAACAACCAGCCAACCAGCCAGCCAGACAUUCGCUGCAACAGACAUUACAUAGAUACACCUCACUUAGUAGAACUGCAGACCUCUCUCCCAUAUAUAUAUCCACACAACACAGACCAAGCCAUAUAUAACUCUGCUAGCACACAACAGCAGUCAGCAGUGACUGCACAACUCUACAGCAGGAUACAUGUCUCAUUUAACGACAAACUGCAAUGGAUUUAGUGACACAAUUGCAGAUUUUCUGAACCAUCACAUGAGGCCCUCUCUUUAAAAAUGAUCAACCACUGUUGCUUAGCAACAUUUUUCACUAGCGAUAUGUUGAUGCCGUUGAUUUUUCUCAUGAUCUUUAUAACAUCUUGUCUCUGUGUUGAUGUGACUUACCAUGUUGAAGAAGGUAAAAGAUCUAAUACUUAUAUUGGAGAUAUUGACAUCGAUACACAUUUUGUAGAAACAUUUCCAGUCAAAGGUCAUAUAAGUUUCAGCCAAAUAAAACAUAAUUCUGACAUUCCUCAGUUAUUCAAUGUCACCAAAAGAGGAAAACUAUACACAACACAGACUCUAGAUGCAGAGACACUUUGUAGCUACAAUAAAGAAUGCUUUAAAAUGCUUGAUGUUGCUGUGCAAAGAGAAAAAUUUUUCAUUAAAAUAUUAGAAAUCAAGGUAAUUAUAGAAGAUAUCAAUGACCAUCGGCCUGAAUUUCCUAACAGACUAAUUCAGCUUCAAUUCUCUGAAGGGGAUCGAAAAGGAAUGACUAAAUCAAUUCCUAAUGCUAUUGACAGUGAUGUUGGCUUAUUGAAUUCCCAGAUCAACUAUGAAUUAAUAAAAAAUCAUGAUGAUCCGUUUUCACUUGCCCUUUCAAAAAGGGUUGAUGGUUCUUAUUCCCUUGGAAUCACUUUAGAAAAUAAGUUAGACAGAGAGAUACAAGAGACCUAUAUGUUAGAAGUCAUUGCUAAAGAUGGAGGUUUUCCACAGAACCAAGGCACAUUGCAAGUUGAAAUAUCUGUAGGAGAUAUAAAUGAUAAUUCUCCAGUAUUCUCUCAAAAUCUCUAUAAUGUUACCAUUAACAACCAACACCAACUAGAUAGGCCAAUUGUAAUGAUUGUUGCAACAGACAUGGAUUCUGGUAAAAACAGCAAGGUUCAAUAUUAUUUUAGUUCUAAAACUUCGGAAUUGGUUAAAACAUACUUCAGAUUAAAUGAAAUAACUGGAGAAAUUUUCCUUAAUGAACAAUAUAGUCAGGAAAAGAGAAAAAGAUUUAAGUUAUUUAUUGAAGCCAGGGAUGAAGGUAGCCCACCUUUGAGUUCAAUUGUUGUUAUACUUGUAAAUAUUAUCAAUCAACAGAACAAUGCACCAACUAUUGAUAUGAAUUUCUUCUCAGAGUCAUCAGGAAGCACUGCCAUGAUUUCUGAAGAUAUACAAGUUGGCAACUUUAUAGCUUAUCUGAAAAUUAUUGAUAAUGACAUUGGAGAAAAUGGAGAGAUCAGCUGUAAUCUUGACAGUGAUAAAUUUCAACUACAGAGUCGAGGAAUAAAGAAAUAUAAAGUGGUUAUAAAAAAUCGUGUUGACAGAGAGAUUGAGAAAUAUAUAAAUUUUACUAUAACUUGUCAAGACAAAGGAUCUCCUCCGCUGAAAACAGAAAGAAAGUUCUCCAUUCAAGUGAUAGAUGUCAAUGAUGUACAACCACAAUUCACAAAAGAUACUUUUAAAUUUCUAACUUAUGAGAAUGAAAGGCCAAAUUUUCCUGUUGGCUUUGUUAAUGCUACUGAUCCUGAUUUGGGACCUGGAGGUCAUCUUACUUACACGAUAUUCAAAAGCAAUAGACAUUUUCUUCCUUUUGAAAUAUCUAAUUUUGGAUUUAUCUCUACUACAAAAUUGUUGGACCGUGAACAGCAAGAAAUUUAUGAGUUCAAAGUUUUAGUUAAAGACAAUGGGGUACCAUCACUUAAUGACACAGCAAAGGUUAUUGUGGAAAUUAUGGACGAAAAUGACAAUGCACCAUAUUUCAUCUUUCCCAGUGUUAACCCAUUCAGUCUUGAUGUUCACUACCAUCCACAGAGUAAAAGUGACAUUACAACAUUAAGAGCUGCAGACCGAGACAGUCGACAAAAUGCUUUUCUUAAAUAUGAACUUCGAGGAGGCAAUACUAAAUAUUUAUUUGCUAUUAAUCCUUACACAGGAGUUUUGUCAUUCUCUCGGCCAGUUCAUCAAAAUGAUGCUGGGUCAUUUGAGCUUCAUUUGGCUGUCAAAGACAGUGGCACACCAAGCUUAUCAGCAACAACAACACUAUCUUUAACUCUAACUGUAAGUAAUACAACAGCUAAAUUAUUCACUGCUAUUGAUACACAGUCUGACAACAAAAUACAUAUUAAUUUAUUCAUCAUUAUCAUUGUUGCAGCGGUAGCAGUAUCUGUUGUACUCGUUGUGUCUAUAACAAUUUGCAUUGUAAAAGGCAGUAAUAAUAAAAAUUCUAAACUAAGACGUGGGACAAACAUGUCUUAUCGUAGUUCAGAUGAUAACCACCAAACUGAUUUAGGGGAGCCUAUGUCAUUCCAAUAUGAUGUCCCAGUGACAACACUUUCUGGUGAGGAAAGCAAAAUGCAACAACUUGUGAGUGCAAGGAGACAAAUGAAUCCUAACAGAGAAAGUUUGCAAACAGGAAUUCCUUGGCCAGCUACCACUGAAGAAACAUCACAAUGUGAUGUCCACAGUAUCUUGUGCUGAAGGUGGGUGUGGCUUGAAUGAAGGAAAUGCUGCAGUCUACGAAGAAGUUAAAGGCGCUAAGAUUUGCCAGCCAGAGCUGCUUCCGACUACAGGUAGGAGGUCUUUAAAACAAACACUCACUAGGGCAAAGAAUACUAGUGG